UGAGGCGUCAGGCCUUCUUCUUGA
rnacentral:tRNA from 1 species